AUAGAAGGCCUCCUCCACUGGGAUUUCAAGCCUGGUCUAUCAAUUGAAGAUCAGGUGCGUCGAAGGUUUGCUUCUACAGUCCAUUUUUUACCAUCUCUGGGUACCAAGGAGUUCUUCUUGGUCGUCUACUUCUCCUCAGCUUCCUUCCCUCUUACUGAGGAUUAUGUGGGAAUCGCUUUGCAAUGUUGCAUUGGG
rnacentral:rRNA from 1 species